rnacentral:tRNA from 1 species
AGAAAUUUAAGAUAAUAAUUCUAUUAGCUUUCAAAGUUAAAAGUGUUUCUG